AAAUUGAAGAGUUUGAUCAUGGCUCAGAUUGAACGCUGGCGGCAGGCCUAACACAUGCAAGUCGAACGGUAACAGGAAGCAGCUUGCUGCUUUGCUGACGAGUGGCGGACGGGUGAGUAAUGUCUGGGAAACUGCCUGAUGGAGGGGGAUAACUACUGGAAACGGUGGCUAAUACCGCAUAACGUCGCAAGACCAAAGAGGGGGACCUUCGGGCCUCUUGCCAUCAGAUGUGCCCAGAUGGGAUUAGCUUGUUGGUGAGGUAACGGCUCACCAAGGCGACGAUCCCUAGCUGGUCUGAGAGGAUGACCAGCCACACUGGAACUGAGACACGGUCCAGACUCCUACGGGAGGCAGCAGUGGGGAAUAUUGCACAAUGGGCGCAAGCCUGAUGCAGCCAUGCCGCGUGUAUGAAGAAGGCCUUCGGGUUGUAAAGUACUUUCAGCGGGGAGGAAGGUGUUGUGGUUAAUAACCGCAGCAAUUGACGUUACCCGCAGAAGAAGCACCGGCUAACUCCGUGCCAGCAGCCGCGGUAAUACGGAGGGUGCAAGCGUUAAUCGGAAUUACUGGGCGUAAAGCGCACGCAGGCGGUCUGUCAAGUCGGAUGUGAAAUCCCCGGGCUCAACCUGGGAACUGCAUUCGAAACUGGCAGGCUUGAGUCUUGUAGAGGGGGGUAGAAUUCCAGGUGUAGCGGUGAAAUGCGUAGAGAUCUGGAGGAAUACCGGUGGCGAAGGCGGCCCCCUGGACAAAGACUGACGCUCAGGUGCGAAAGCGUGGGGAGCAAACAGGAUUAGAUACCCUGGUAGUCCACGCCGUAAACGAUGUCUACUUGGAGGUUGUGCCCUUGAGGCGUGGCUUCCGGAGCUAACGCGUUAAGUAGACCGCCUGGGGAGUACGGCCGCAAGGUUAAAACUCAAAUGAAUUGACGGGGGCCCGCACAAGCGGUGGAGCAUGUGGUUUAAUUCGAUGCAACGCGAAGAACCUUACCUGGUCUUGACAUCCACGGAAGUUUUCAGAGAUGAGAAUGUGCCUUCGGGAACCGUGAGACA
rnacentral:rRNA from 1 species